GAGUUUGAUCCUGGCUCAKAACGAACGCUGGCGGCGUGCCUAACACAUGCAAGUUGAACGGGGUUUAAUGUGUAGCAAUACAGAUUAGACCUAGUGGCGGACGGGUGAGUAACACGUAGGUAACCUGCCUCAAAGUGGGGGACAACCCCGCGAAAGCGGGGCUAAUACCGCAUAAGACCACGGACUGGGAGGUUUGUGGUAAAAGUAGCGAUACGCUUUGAGAGGGGCCUGCGGCCUAUCAGGUAGUUGGUGGGGUAACGGCCCACCAAGCCUAAGACGGGUAGCCGGACUGAGAGGUUGAACGGCCACACUGGAACUGAGACACGGUCCAGACUCCUACGGGAGGCAGCAGUGGGGAAUUUUGCGCAAUGGGCGAAAGCCUGACGCAGCGACGCCGCGUGGAGGAUGAAGGUCUUCGGAUUGUAAACUCCUUUUGCAGGGGAAGAUAAUGACGGUACCCUGCGAAUAAGCCACGGCUAACUCUGUGCCAGCAGCCGCGGUAAGACACAGGUGGCAAGCGUUGUUCGGAAUUACUGGGCUUAAAGGGC
rnacentral:rRNA from 1 species